rnacentral:rRNA from 1 species
AGGACGAACGCUGGCGGCGUGCUUCACACAUGCAAGUCGAGCGGAAAGGCCCUUCGGGGUACUCGAGCGGCGAACGGGUGAGUAACACGUGACUAACCUACCCUGGAGUGGGGAGUAACUGAGGGGAAACCUUAGCUAAUACCGCAUAAUACCUACGGGUCAAAGGAGCAAUUCGCUUCAGGAGGGGUCGCGGCCGAUUAGUUAGUUGGCGGGGUAAUGGCCCACCAAGACAGUGAUCGGUAUCC